UGAGGAAUAUUGCGCAAUGGGGGAAACCCUGACGCAGCGAUGCCGCGUGGGUGAAGAAGGCCUUCGGGUCGUAAAGCCCUGUCAGGCGGGAAGAAUAGCCUGGGGACGAAUAAUCCUCAGGUAUGACGGUACCGCUGAAGGAAGCACCGGCUAACUCCGUGCCAGCAGCCGCGGUAAGACGGAGGGUGCUAGCGUUAUUCGGAAUUAUUGGGCGUAAAGGGUGUGUAGGCGGUCGGUCAAGUCAGAUGUGAAAGCCCGGGGCUCAACCUCGGAAGUGCAUUUGAAACUGGUCGACUUGAGUUCGGGAGAGGGAAGCGGAAUUCCGGGUGUAGAGGUGAAAUUCGUAGAUAUCCGGAGGAACACCGGUGGCGAAGGCGGCUUCCUGGACCGAAACUGACGCUGAGACACGAAAGCGUGGGGAGCAAACAGG
rnacentral:rRNA from 1 species